rnacentral:piRNA from 1 species
GCACAGAUGAGGCUGGGAAGAGGCCACAGU